UGAACGCUGGCGGUAGGCCUAACACAUGCAAGUCGAACGGCAGCACAGUAAGAGCUUGCUCUUACGGGUGGCGAGUGGCGGACGGGUGAGGAAUACAUCGGAAUCUACUUUUUCGUGGGGGAUAACGUAGGGAAACUUACGCUAAUACCGCAUACGACCUACGGGUGAAAGCAGGGGAUCUUCGGACCUUGCGCGAUUGAAUGAGCCGAUGUCGGAUUAGCUAGUUGGCGGGGUAAAGGCCCACCAAGGCGACGAUCCGUAGCUGGUCUGAGAGGAUGAUCAGCCACACUGGAACUGAGACACGGUCCAGACUCCUACGGGAGGCAGCAGUGGGGAAUAUUGGACAAUGGGCGCAAGCCUGAUCCAGCCAUACCGCGUGGGUGAAGAAGGCCUUCGGGUUGUAAAGCCCUUUUGUUGGGAAAGAAAAGCAGCAGGUUAAUACCCCGCUGUCCUGACGGUACCCAAAGAAUAAGCACCGGCUAACUUCGUG
rnacentral:rRNA from 1 species